UGGGGAAUUGUUCGCAAUGGGCGAAAGCCUGACGACGCAACGCCGCGUGGAGGAUGAAGACCUUCGGGUCGUAAACUCCUUUCGACCGAGAUGAAUUCCCUCCGACCUAACACGUCGGAGGGGUGACAGUAUCGAGGGAAGAAGCCCCGGCUAACUCUGUGCCAGCAGCCGCGGUAAUACAGGGGGGGCAAGCGUUGUUCGGAAUUACUGGGCGUAAAGGGUUUGUAGGUGGCUUGCUAAGUCAGACGUGAAAUCCCUCAGCUUAACUGGGGAACUGCGUCUGAUACUGGAAAGCUUGAGUGCAGGAGAGGAACGCGGAAUUCCAGGUGUAGCGGUGAAAUGCGUAGAUAUCUGGAGGAACACCGGUGGCGAAGGCGGCGUUCUGGACUGCAACUGACACUGAGAAACGAAAGCCAGGGGAGCAAACGGG
rnacentral:rRNA from 1 species